rnacentral:lncRNA from 1 species
GAAAGUUGGCAUUGGCCAAGUCCUUUGCAUAGGGAGUGCUGCCUAAAUUCUAAGUCCAAUUGUCUCAGAUCAAACCAACAAUUCGCACAAGAUAUUUUUUAGGGUUUUUUGUUCUUAUUAUGUACAUUAAUGACCAAAGAUCAUACAAACAAACAUAUAGUUAACAUUUGACAUAUUGAAGAAAUUGACUAAAAUUGUAUUUUUUUUCACUAUGCAUAUUGAAAAAAAUAAAUUCAUGAUCGUUUGAUUUAUGAUCAAAAUAUC